rnacentral:rRNA from 1 species
UGGGGAAUAUUGCGCAAUGGGCGAAAGCCUGACGCAGCAACGCCGCGUGAGUGAAGAAGGCCUUCGGGUUGUAAAGCUCUGUCAGGAGGGAAGAACGACCGAGGUAACCCCUCGGCCUGACGGUACCUCCAAAGGAAGCACUGGCUAACUCCGUGCCAGCAGCCGCGGUAAUACGGAGAGUGCAAGCGUUGUUCGGAAUUACUGGGCGUAAAGAGCGUGUAGGCGGUUUUGUUAGUCUGAUGUGAAAGCCCGGGGCUCAACCCCGGAAGUGCAUUGGAAACUGCAUCACUUGAGUACUGGAGGGGAAAGCGGAAUUCCGAGUGUAGAGGUGAAAUUCGUAGAUAUUCGGAGGAACACCAUUGGCGAAGGCGGCUUUCUGGACAGAUACUGACGCUGAGACGCGAAAGCGUGGGGAGCAAACAGG